AAAAACAUUGCCUCUCGACUCAACAAUGAGAGGUUCAUCCUGCCCAAUGACAACAUAGUUCAAUGGCCGCGGUACCCUGACCGUGCAAAGGUAGCAUAAUCACUUGCCCCUUAAUUAGGGGCUGGCAUGAAAGGACACACGAAAGCUUCCCUGUCUCACAAUAACAAAUAAAAAUUAAUCUUCAAGUGAAAAAGCUUGAAUGAAACUGUAGGACAAGAAGACCCCGUUGAGCUUUAUUCUCUAUAGACUAAAUCAAAUAUUAAAUACAUCAUAAACCUAAAAAGAAUUUAGUUGGGGUGACUAAGGAACACCGAAAACUUCCUUUUAUUAAUUAGGACCAUUCUCCAUACAAAUUGACCCAUUACACAUGAUCAAAAAAAUAAGCUACCACAGGGAUAACAGGCUAAUCUUUCUCAAGAGCCCAAAUUGUCAGAAAGGAUUGGCACCUCGAUGUUGGCUUAGGGGCCCCUAAUGGUGCAGAAGCCAUAAAUGGUAGGUUUGUUCAACCUUUAAAACCCUACAUGAUCUGAGUC
rnacentral:rRNA from 1 species